AACAAGGCGUACCUGCGGACCUGCGGAGGGAUCAUUACAAGAAUCGAGGCUGACGGUGCCUACUCCCUAGGCUCCGUCCAGUCCCGCUCUCUACCUUGCCUACUGCACCGUUUGUUGCUUCCUGGCGGCGUCCCGUCGCCAGGGCCUUUUGAAAGCCAAGUAUAAGCAUUGAAACUUCUGACAUACACUAAAUCGUACAACUUUUAACAAUGGAUCU
rnacentral:misc_RNA from 1 species